rnacentral:rRNA from 1 species
AGUGAACGCUGGCGGCAGGCCUAAUACAUGCAAGUCGAACGGCAGCACAGCAGAGCUUGCUCUGUGGGUGGCGAGUGGCGGACGGGUGAGGAAUACAUGGGAAUCUGCCCAGUCGUGGGGGAUAACGUAGGGAAACUACGGCAAUACCGCCAUCGGCCUUCGGGGGGAAGCCGGGGACCUUUGGGCCUGGCGCGAAUGGGUGAGGCCAUGUCGGAUUAGCUCGUUGGCGGGGUAAAGGCCCACCAAGGCGACGAUCCGUAGCUGGUCUGAGAGGAUGAUCAGCCACACUGGAACUGAGACACGGUCCAGACUCCUACGGGAGGCAGCAGUAGGGAAUAUUGGACAAUGGGCGCAAGCCUGAUCCAGCCAUGCCGCGUGAGUGAAGAAGGCCUUCGGGUUGUAAAGCUCUUUUGUCCGGAAAGAAAAGCAUCCAGUUAAUACCUGGGUGUCCUGACGGUACCGGAAGAAUAAGCACCGGCUAACUUCGUGCCAGCCGCCGCGGUAACAC